rnacentral:lncRNA from 1 species
CCUCAUCAUUUCUUAUUUCAUCUCAUUUUAUCUCAUUUCAUCUCAUAUCUCAAUUCAAUUUCCUUUCAUUAUUUCAUCUCAUUCAUUUCAUCUCCUUUCAUUACAUCUCAUCAUUUCCUCUCAUCAUUACACCUCAUCUCAUCUCAUCAUUUCAUCAUUUCAUUACAUCUCAUCAUUUCCUCUCAUCAUUACAUCUCAUCUCAUCUCAUCAUUUCAUCAUUUCAUCUCAUCAUUGCAUCUCAUCAUUUCA